UACAGAGGGUGCGAGCGUUAAUCGGAAUUACUGGGCGUAAAGGGUGUGUAGGUGGAUAGGUAAGUUAGAUGUGAAAUCCCCGGGCUUAACCUGGGAACUGCGUUUAAAACUGCUUAUCUAGAGUAAUGUAGAGGAUAGUGGAAUUUCCAGUGUAGCGGUGAAAUGCGUAGAUAUUGGAAGGAACACCAGUGGCGAAGGCGACUAUCUGGACAGAUACUGACACUGAGACACGAAAGCGUGGGGAGCAAACAGG
rnacentral:rRNA from 1 species